UGUACUUGGACUCUGCACGUUCGGCUCAGCAAAGAGAUUCACAUGUCUUGCAGAUUAAGAAAGUGGCCUUGUUCUUGGAAGAGAUAGUCUUAGAUGAGUCUUGGUAUGCUUGUAAAAGGCAUGAAAGGCUAACUAUCUCUGAAUUUAAGCUAGUGGAAUCCGAGGUCAAUCAGCAAGAAGUUGGAAUGUAAGCUUUUUUUUUAUCUUCUUAGUACAAAAUAACAAUCUUGUAUAAUACUAGAUAGUGUUUGUCUUACUCUUACGUGUUGGAAUUACUAUUUACAUUGACUAAACAGAAAUGAUUGUGGAGUGUGGGUCUGUCAAUGGAUGAUUUUAUCUCGAUUGUGGGGGUCUCACAAUGUAGAGAAGGUUACUGAGUACAGUAGAAUGAAGUUGGCGAUUGACUUGGUGCUAAAAUCGCAUAAUGAAAUCCGUCAAGACAUUAUCAAUAAGGCAAUGGAAAAUUGGAGGAGACUCUCCCAAGUUUAGGUGCAUUUGCUGUCGGAAGAACUCCUACCUUAGAGCCUUUAAAUUUUGCACAGAUCCAUGUUGAAAUGAUGAUAGCAACACAUAUUUUGUUGGGUAUUUUUGUUAUGCAUAACUAAAACCUCAAGACUAAUAUAAUUAGAACUUAAAUUUCAUUAUAUUUCGAAUAAGGUGAAAUACAAUCAGAACUUGAAAUUGACAG